GUAGAGCUGUUUGGUAGUUCACAAAGUUCAUAACCUUGGGGUUACGGGUUCGAU
rnacentral:tRNA from 1 species